rnacentral:rRNA from 1 species
ACCUCAAAUCAGAUGGGACUACCCGCUGAACUUAAGCAUAUCAAUAAGCGGAGGAAAAGAAACUAACAAGGAUUCCCCUAGUAACUGCGAGUGAAGCGGGAAAAGCUCAAAUUUGAAAUCUGGCUGUCAUAUGGCAGUCCGAGUUGUAAUUUCGAGAAGUGUUGCCCGUGCCGGACCGUGCAUAAGUCCUCUGGAAAGGGGUAUCAUAGAGGGUGACAAUCCCGUCUUUGGUACGGAUUCCCGGUGCAUUGUGGUAUGCUCUCAACGAGUCGAGUUGUUUGGGAAUGCAGCUCAAAAUGGGUGGUAAAUUCCAUCUAAAGCUAAAUAUUGGCGUGAGACCGAUAGCGAACAAGUACCGUGAGGGAAAGAUGAAAAGAACUUUGGAAAGAGAGUUAAACAGUACGUGAAAUUGUCAAUAGGGAAACGCUUGAAGUCAGUCGCGUUGCUCGGGGAUCAGCCUUCCUUUUGGUUGGUGUACUUCCUGAAUAACGGGUCAGCAUCAGUUUUGACUGCUGGAGAAAGGCUUGGGGAAUGUGGCUCUUUCGGGAGUGUUAUAGCCCUUUGUCAUAUACAGUGGUUGGGACUGAGGAACUCAGUACGCCGCAAGGCAGCUCUUCGG